GCCCGUAUGGCGCAGUGGUUAACGCAUCCCACUUGUAGCCCCACUACGUCAUGGGAAGAUCCCUCGUUCGACUCGGGGUGCGGGCA
rnacentral:tRNA from 1 species